rnacentral:rRNA from 1 species
AGUGAACGCUGGCGGUAGGCCUAACACAUGCAAGUCGAACGGCAGCACAGUAAGAGCUUGCUCUUACGGGUGGCGAGUGGCGGACGGGUGAGGAAUACAUCGGAAUCUACUUUUUCGUGGGGGAUAACGUAGGGAAACUUACGCUAAUACCGCAUACGACCUACGGGUGAAAGCAGGGGAUCUUCGGACCUUGCGCGAUUGAAUGAGCCGAUGUCGGAUUAGCUAGUUGGCGGGGUAAAGGCCCACCAAGGCGACGAUCCGUAGCUGGUCUGAGAGGAUGAUCCGCCACACUGUAACUGAGACACGGUCCAGACUCCUACGGGAGGCAGCAGUGGGGAAUAUUGGGCAAUGGGGGCAAGCCUGAUCCAGCCAUACCGCGUGGGUGAAGAAGGCCUUCGGGUUGUAAAGCCCUUUUGUUGGGAAAGAAAAGCAGCAGGUUAAUACCCCGCUGUUCUGACGGUACCCAAAGAAUAAGCACCGGCUAACUUCGUG